rnacentral:rRNA from 1 species
AUACGUAGGGUGCAAGCGUUAAUCGGAAUUACUGGGCGUAAAGCGUGCGCAGGCGGUUUUGUAAGACAGGGGUGAAAUCCCCGGGCUCAACCUGGGAACUGCCAUUGUGACUGCAAGGCUGGAGUGCGGCAGAGGGGGAUGGAAUUCCGCGUGUAGCAGUGAAAUGCGUAGAUAUGCGGAGGAACACCGAUGGCGAAGGCAAUCCCCUGGGCCUGCACUGACGCUCAUGCACGAAAGCGUGGGGAGCAAACAGGAUUAGAUACCCUGGUAGUCCACGCCCUAAACGAUGUCAACUGGUUGUUGGGAAUUUAUUUUCUCAGUAACGAAGCUAACGCGUGAAGUUGACCGCCUGGGGAGUACGGCCGCAAGGUUAAAACUCAAAGGAAUUGACGGGG